AUUGAACGCUGGCGGCAGGCUUAACACAUGCAAGUCGAGCGGGGGAAGGUAGCUUGCUACUGGACCUAGCGGCGGACGGGUGAGUAAUGCUUAGGAAUCUGCCUAUUAGUGGGGGGCAACAUCUCGAAAGGGAUGCUAAUACCGCAUACGUCCUACGGGAGAAAGCAGGGGAUCUUCGGACCUUGCGCUAAUAGAGGAGCCUAAGUCGGAUUAGCUAGUUGGUGGGGUAAAGGCCUACCAAGGCGACGAUCUGUAGCGGGUCUGAGAGGAUGAUCCGCCACACUGGGACUGAGACACGGCCCAGACUCCUACGGGAGGCAGCAGUGGGGAAUAUUGGACAAUGGGGGGAACCCUGAUCCAGCCAUGCCGCGUGUGUGAAGAAGGCCUUAUGGUUGUAAAGCACUUUAAGCGAGGAGGAGGCUACUUUAGUUAAUACCUAGAGAUAGUGGACGUUACUCGCAGAAUAAGCACCGGCUAACUCUGUGCCAGCAGCCGCAGUAA
rnacentral:rRNA from 1 species